UACGUAGGGUGCGAGCGUUGUCCGGAAUUAUUGGGCGUAAAGAGCUCGUAGGCGGUGUGUCGCGUCGGCCGUGAAAACCUGGGGCUCAACUCUGGGCGUGCGGUCGAUACGGGCAUCACUUGAGUUCGGCAGGGGAGACUGGAAUUCCUGGUGUAGCGGUGAAAUGCGCAGAUAUCAGGAGGAACACCGGUGGCGAAGGCGGGUCUCUGGGCCGAUACUGACGCUGAGGGGCGAAAGCAUGGGUAGCGAACAGG
rnacentral:rRNA from 1 species